UGCCUCGGCGCCCGUCCGUCACGCGCGGCUUCUUACAGCCUCCCGUAUAACCGUGCCCUUUGUGUGUGCCAACCUGGCCUCCGUAACGGUAUUCCUUGCUCCUCUUCUUCACCGCUGCACAGGCAAUUAAGAACAAAGGAAACAAAUGAGGUGGCUGUCACCAAACCCGAGUCUAUAGGUGACGGACACCCAAGACCAAAUAGCCCGAGAUGCCGCCACCACGGAAGGAACCUGAAAGCAGGAAAAUGACCCUGCUUCCCAGGGAUUUUACUUCUGUAUUUAUUUUCUUGAGCGUCUGACACAGAGCCUGGCAUGUGCUGGGCCUUCUGAAAACGUCUGGUGAACAAUAAAGGCCUUGCAAGGAAAGGGAGAACAUGAGCAUGUGGCCUGGACAAACAUGCUUCAUGCUUUUUCUACGCCCUGUCUGGGUUGAGCCUGCAAAUGAGCAUGGAUCCAGUCCCUUUUACUGUCCCUCGGCUGAAAGAGAAAACUAAACAAUGAGACCGUGGUUCAAGAAGUGAAUGACUACUGCAGAAGACAGUGUGGAGUGACGGACAAAGGGGACAGCCAUCUUGUUGAUGUGCACAGAGAAAGGGCAUUUGGGUUUUCUUUCUUCCUCUCACCAAGGGGGGGGGGGGAAGAGUCUGUUAGUAAUAAAACUCACAAAGAGUAAUCAA